UGAGCGGAUCCUCACACGACUCUGAUCCGAUUCUUUCCAGCAGCUUCUGCAACCAAGCUGGUCUUAUCCCUGGUCCUCCGCGUCUCCAGUCCUCGCACCUGGAACCCCAACGUCCCCGAGAGUCCCCGAAUCCCCGCUCCCAGGCUACCUAAGAGGAUGAGCGGUGCUCCGACGGCCGGAGCAGCCCUGAUGCUCUGCGCCGCCACCGCCGUGCUCCUGAGCGCUCAGGGCGGCCCCGUGCAGUCCAAGUCGCCCCGCUUUGCGUCCUGGGACGAGAUGAAUGUCCUGGCGCACGGACUCCUGCAGCUCGGCCAGGGGCUGCGCGAACACGCAGAGCGCACCCGCAGUCAGCUGAGCGCGCUGGAGCGGCGCCUGAGCGCGUGCGGGUCGGCCUGCCAGGGAACCGAGGGGUCCACUGCCCUCCCGUUAGCCCCUGAGAGCCGGGUGGACCCUGAGGUCCUUCACAGCCUGCAGACACAACUCAAGGCUCAGAACAGCAGGAUCCAGCAACUCUUCCACAAGGUGGCCCAGCAGCAGCGGCACCUGGAGAAGCAGCACCUGCGAAUUCAGCGUCUGCAAAGCCAGUUUGACCUCCUGGACCCCAAGCACCUAGACCAUGAGGUGGCCAAGCCUGCCCGAAGAAAGAGGCUGCCCGAGAUGACCCAGCCAGUUGACCUGGCUUACAAUGUCAGCCGCCUGUACCAUGGAGGCUGGACAGUAAUUCAGAGGCGCCACGAUGGCUCGGUGGACUUCAACCGGCCCUGGGAAGCCUAUAAGGCGGGGUUCGGGGAUCCCCAAGGUAGGUGUUUCUAGCGGGGACGGAGGCAGGGGAGGAAGAGGGAGCCUCAGAAGCGGCCCUGCCUCACGGAGUGGCCUCUCUUACUCCAGGCGAGUUCUGGCUGGGCCUGG
rnacentral:sRNA from 1 species